rnacentral:rRNA from 1 species
UACGUAGGGACCAAGCGUUGUCCGGAAUCACUGGGCGUAAAGGGCGCGUAGGUGGCUUGGCAAGCGUGUGGUGAAAGCCCGGGGCUCAACCCCGGGUCUGCCGUGCGAACUGCUAUGGCUUGAGCACUGUAGAGGCAGGUAGAAUUCCGGGUGUAGCGGUGGAAUGCGUAGAGAUCCGGAAGAAUACCGGUGGCGAAGGCGGCCUGCUGGGCAGUGGCUGACACUGAGGCGCGACAGCGUGGGGAGCAAACAGG